CAUGUUUUGAACAUCACGUCUUCUCCUUUCUCUUCCUCUCCCCUCCUCCCCACUGCUCCCCUCUCCUCCCCUAGGCCUGUCUUGUGCCAUGGCUGGUGCCUGCUCUACCCCCUGUACUUGCUCAAUUCCACCCCUUGUACCAGGCCUAAUCUGCUGCUUGCCAGUUUGUUAGCUCUCCUGAUGAAUGAAUUUGUGUGUGGAUGGCCCUGACUAGCCACAGUGCUGCCCAGAUCCCACAUAGAAGAAAGCCUUGAUUGUGAAACACGGGAUUUUAAGAACUAGUCUACACAAUUCUAGAAAUGUCUUCCCUUACUCCUCUAAACAUGUACGUUUCAUGAAUUCAACAAAUCUUCAUUAAGCAUCCAGUGUAUGCCAAACACCAUAUAAACCCAGGCAAUACCCAAUUAUGGUUCCUGCCCUUGCAGACCUCUAGGCUGGGGGAGGAGUCAGAUGUCAACCAAAUAAUCCAUGACACUGCAAGUGAUAACCAGCAUGGAGAGGCAUGAGGUACUAUGAGAAUGGUUAGUAGCAGGAUUUCCCACCCGGGCAAGGAGAUCAGGAAAAGCUUCUAGGAAAAAGUGAGGGGAAGAGUGGAGAGAAGGGAGGGCAGCAGAAGAUUAUGUGUAAAGGCCCCCAAAUUGGGGUCCUGGCCCCCAGCCACUGGUGCCUCAGAAAGAGGAGGGACCCUCCAUCCCUGCUCCCUGCCUAGCUUUGGAUAUGCUACAAAUGAAGGAUGGCCAAAGCAAGACACUGGAACAUCUGGUGACCCUGCCCUGGAAUGACUCCGCCCAUUCUUUCAUCUUCUCCAGAAAGGGAAACAGAGGCACAGGCAAGGAAUAGGAAUCCAUAGGUUUAGGCCUGAGAUUAUACAUGGAAAGCAAGACCCCACAUUGCUGGCAAAGCCCUCAGGGUGAAUCUGCCUAGCUGGAGUCUCACCAGAGGCUCUGCUGAGCUGUCCUACCACGAACCCCAUCCCCUCUCGGAUCCAGCCCUAACCUGCCACACUCCUGGAACAAGGAGCAUGUCUGCCUCCAUAGUUGCCUAGAGUGUGAGCGGACUGCCUCCUCUUCUGCAGCUGCCUGCUUCUCCGUGAGAUGAGAGACUUGGGGGAAUUCAACUCAAUCCAGUUCAGCAGUUAUUGAGCAUCUGCUAUAUACCAGGCACUGAUAGGUGCUCUAAAUACAGAAACUCCUCUUCUGCAGCUUUUGGAAUGGAAACUCUUCUCAGAUCCUCUUCCAAGGCCCCUGAAGGACAGCCAAAUAACAGUAAAUGGUGCAGAAAACUUAUUUACAGAAGUAUUUCAACUAACAUGGAAGGAUAUGGAAUCAGAAAAAUUACCAUUUUGCAACCCCUGAUGAAAUAAUGGAUCAAACAAGAAUAUUCAAUGGAUGAAACAAGGAACGUGGUUGAUGGAGAACUCUACAAUGGAGGGAUCAAGUUGUCACCACUGGCCCCCUGUGGUGAAUCCUAGCACUGUUGAAAGGGGCACAGCCACACACUGUGUGCCUCCUGAUGUCAUGCAGUCUGAAGCACUCAGCUCCACCUACGAAGGGCUCUUGCUAAACGAAAACACUGAACCUGAUUCUAAUAAUAACUCCAGAGCUAAUCUCCAUUCAACAGGAAAUAGUGGGGAUGGAAGAACAAGUUAAAUGACAUAAUGAGGAAGUAAGAAGACACAUCCAGAAUGUGGGAUAUUCUAAAGAAAAUCUGACGCAAUUUCUUCAAGUUGUCAAUGGCUGGGCAGGGUUGGGGGUGGGUAGGUAAGAGGCGACAUAAAAAGACAACCACCACAAGGAACAUAAGGACCUUGUUUGGUUUCUGAUUUGGACAACCCAAUUGUAAAAAGACAUUUUCAAACAGUUGGGGACAGUUAAUUAUGGACUGGAUAUUUGUGAGGCCAAGGAAUCAGUGUUGAUUUUGUUAGAUCUAAAAAUGACUUUGGGGUCCUAUAAAAAAAAAAAGGUUAUUUUCUAGAGAUGCAUACUUAAGUAUGGAGUGAAGUGACAUAUUUAAUUUUAAAUGUUUUGGCAAAUAAAAAAGGGCAGAAAGAGUGGCAGAAUCAAUAAUGUUGAAUUAAGCGUACAAAAGGUUCAUAGAAUUAUGUUCUCUACCUUUGUGUAUGUUUGAACAUUUUUAAAAAGAUUUUAUUGAUUUAUCUUUAGAGGGGAAGGGAAGGAGAGAGGGAGAGAAAUAUCAGUGUAUGGUUGCCUCUCGUGUGUCCCCUGCUGAAAACUGGCCUGCAACCCAGGCAUGUGCCCUGACUGGGAACUGAACCGUGAUCCUUUGGUUUGCAGGCCCGCGCUCAAUCCACUGAGCUACACCAGCCAGGGCUGUUUGAACAUUUUUGUAGUAAAAGUUUUAAAUGAUGCUCCUCUGGUAAAUAUGGUUGGUUCCUAGUAACUCCUAGGACACCUUCCCCACCUGCACUGAAAGACUUCCCAUGUGUGACUCCUCACACACUGACCCCAGCUCUCCCUGCCCUCUACUGGAAGAAUGUACUAUAGAUGGGUUGGGCUCACAGGCUGCCCUUUAUCCCCUGCAGUCUUCUGCUGGCACAUUCCUCAUGUUUAAGACUUUUCCAGAGGUGCCUCACAGCUCUGAAGGGCCAGGGGAACCUUAAAGAAUA